rnacentral:lncRNA from 1 species
UACAAAAGGAAUUUGGAGAAUAGUUUAUUGCUCUGCCCUCCAGCUCUUCAAUCAGAGAGGAGAGACAACAGGGUGCUGAGAAGGUGUGGAUUAUCCAAUCUGUAUCCUCUUUGGUUUGGCAGUCAUAACAGACUUCUUUCAUCAAAAUAAAUAAAUGCCCCAAAUCUCCCAGAUAUUUACAGGAUAAACAGUGACCAGAAAGAGAGAGUUCUUGGGUUCCUUCUGCCAUAUUCAUGACGCUCAUGAAAAAUAGCUGAGGAGAUGCAACUUCCAAGCAUUCCUGCCACAUGGAACAGAGUGAGGAUAAAUGAAGAACACAGAAAGCCAUUACCUCAUCUUUGGGAGCACCAUCACUGCCCAAGCAAGACUUCUAUUUCAAUUGUCAGUGCAUGUUUUUUUUUUCUUUCUUAUAAUGUGUUUUUUAAACUGUCAAGGCCCCACAAAGAACUUUUUUGAAAUCCUCCCACUAAUGGAGGGGAGAUGGCCCAGAUUGUCGUAACCCCAGAGUAUGAGGACUUGAUUUGCUCCUAAUGCAUUUUUCCCAUCACCUGCCAGCAAAAAUC